rnacentral:lncRNA from 1 species
AAAAAAUAAAACAUCCUAUGCCCGUUAAGAAGGGUUGAAUAAUCUCCAGAAAUCAAGUAUAUACACUACAUUCAGUCUUUCAGCCACAAAGGAAGCAGAUGAAUGGCACAAGAAAGACACGUGACAUAAAAAGUUAAGCCAACUUUUAGUAAUUCUAGUGUAAGUGUUUGGGCCAAGCCUUAUUGCUACACAGUCCUAUUCACAAUUCCAAACAAAAAAAUAGAAUAUAAAAACAGCAUUUACAGUUACAAAAAAAUAAAAAAAGAACAAAAAGUUAGUCUCUAGUAUAGUGUUUGGCAAACUACAAAAUCAGGUUUACAGAUGACAAAUAUGACACCACAUGGAUGACAGUCAGGUUUAGCAAUGCUCUUAAACCUGAUAAUCCAGCCUCAUGCAUCCUGAUGUGACUUUAACCUAAGUUCACUCUAUCCUAAAGGAGAGCUGCACUGAAAUGGAACUUGAAUAGAUUUUCAUCAAGUUAUCCAUUAAAAAAAAAAGAAAAAAAGUAAAAAAAGGAUAGAUGAGAUCAGCAAAGUUCAGUAAAGUGCUAAAUCAGUUUUAUUUAUGACAGGUAUGUCCCAGAUAGAUGUGGCUCAUGUUUAGUAAGACACUGGAACCUGGAUAUUUUUCAUGAUCCAGAUAUUAACUAAAUCAGGCGUACCUUUGUUCCAAAA